rnacentral:rRNA from 1 species
AACGAACGCUGGCGGCAUGCCUAACACAUGCAAGUCGAACGAGACCUUCGGGUCUAGUGGCGCACGGGUGCGUAACGCGUGGGAACCUGCCCUUAGGUUCGGAAUAACUCCCCGAAAGGGGUGCUAAUACCGGAUAAUGUCUUCGGACCAAAGAUUUAUCGCCUUUGGAUGGGCCCGCGUUGGAUUAGCUAGUUGGUAGGGUAAAAGCCUACCAAGGCGACGAUCCAUAGCUGGUCUGAGAGGAUGAUCAGCCACACUGGGACUGAGACACGGCCCAGACUCCUACGGGAGGCAGCGGUGGGGAAUAUUGGACAAUGGGCGAAAGCCUGAUCCAGCAAUGCCGCGUGAGUGAUGAAGGCCUUAGGGUUGUAAAGCUCUUUUACCCGGGAUGAUAAUGACAGUACCGGGAGAAUAAGCUCCGGCUAUCUCCGUG